UACGUAGGGUGCGAGCGUUGUCCGGAUUUACUGGGCGUAAAGAGCGCGUAGGCGGUCUGUUAAGUGUAGAGUGAAAUCUCCAGGGCUCAACCCGGAAACUGCUCUGCAUACUGGCAGACUUGAGGAAUGCAGAGGUUUGUGGAAUUCCUGGUGUAGCGGUGAAAUGCGUUGAUAUCAGGAGGAACACCCAUGGCGAAGGCAGCAAACUGGGCAUUAUCUGACGCUGAGGCGCGAAAGCGUGGGUAGCAAACAGG
rnacentral:rRNA from 1 species